AAUUCCAUAGUUUAAAAAAAACAAUGAUUUUGUAAAUCAUAGUUAUAAAAAAUAUUAUUGGAAUUA
rnacentral:tRNA from 1 species